rnacentral:lncRNA from 1 species
CUUUAUUCUUUUGUUCUGCUUUCUUUUCUUUUGCCUUAAGGAAUCAGAGCCUAUCAAAAUACGUGGCUUUCAUCCACUUUCUAAAGUCAACAGUGGAUGCAUGCCAUUGUGGGACCCUGCUGGAACAGGUCACUAGGAGAUCCCUGGAGAUGGGCCAUGUCCUACGUGUACACUGCAAAGAAGACACACACCUAAGUGUGUGCUGCUCAGGAUUUGAUUUUCAUUUUGGCAAAGGUCACAGCGGCACCCCUGCUCCUCUUAGACUCCUGCAAACAGCUUUGAACUCGAACGUAUUUGAUAGGUGGGUGUGAUAAGCAGCCAGGUUAGCCAUCCCAUCCCACUCCACCCUGCCCCAUUCCAUCUUCUCUCUGGGAGAACGGUGGUUCUUGACACUAAAUUCGGGAGCAGUUGGCAACGCCUGACUAUUCCCCUGGCUUAAAGAUUUUGAUUGUGAUGAGGUCAUGGUUCAGAGAUCGGCAAAGCCCAGAAACGGUUCAUGUUUUGCUCCCACAGAGGGCUGAGGCUGCAGGGCCUUUGCAGCACUGCUGCGUGUUGCACUGCUGCUGUGAGCGUUGAGUUGGUGCCAUCGGUCUGACCACGCACCUAAAGCACCCCUCAGGAGUCACUGCUUGCUCAAAGCUGGAGAGUCCCACACCACCUCUUGCUUAACUGCAGGUUAAAAAUUUGCUCUCUAUUUACCUGCUGAUGUACCUCACGCUUGAAGUAUGAGGGCCCUGGCCAGGCUGAAGCUGUGGCAGGGUCCCCAGGGUGCAGCCAGCCCGACAGCCCUCGCUGCAGCUCAUCCCAUGCUGGGGGAAGGUGCUUGCUCUGACGGCAUUGGCAAGCACUAAAAAUGAAAAACCUUGACAAAUACAUGGUAGAAGUUAGCAAGAAAUGGCAUUUUCUGUGAGAAGGGGAGCGCUGCGAAUUGGGUUUCAAGGAAAUGGCAUUUAAGCAGUGCCUCUCCUGCAGCUCAGCACUCCGGGUCCGGGCUGGCAGCCAUCGGUGUCAGUGCAGUUUUGCUGCAGGGUUAGCAUGUAAAAGCCGUUCUGCUGAACUGAACACACAACAGAGAUCCUGCAGUGUUUGGGAAUUGGUUUCCAUUCACAAAGCUGAGGGUCUCCGUGCCUGCUGCCUUAACCUGAGCGAGAUGCUCCGCGCUGAUGUGCCGCUGUGCUCCUCACAUAGCUGGGUUUGUGGUGUUCAAUGUCACAUAAGGAGUCUGCUUCUGCUCUGCUGGCCUUUAUUGCCACGUGAGGUGUGCAUACACCUAUAUGAGAGGAAGAGGCAAGAAGCUGGCUGCCCUCUUCCUCACCACGGGCGUGCAGGAGACGUGCUGGGGUAUGGGGUCCUGUCUGUUUGCCAUCACUUGGGAAAGUACAGCCAUUUUAGUUCUCAUCUCAGCCAUUUAAAUAUGUGCAGGAGGGGUGAGCCAUGUUCACAUCCCUUUUUUUUUCCCCCUAAUUCUAAUUUUCUGGCACGCUUUCUCCCUGGAAGCUGGAGCUAUUAGCAGUUAUUCUCCCAGGACUCUGUGCCUCUCUUCAUCUCUGAGUCACUUCUCCAAUUAGAGAUUAAUUUAUCCAGCAUUGCUCCUUGCUGCGACGAGCAGUAAUGAUAAAAACACUCUGAUCUCGAACUGAAAUGGGCCAAAAGGAAGAAGAGAUGUGUGUGGUGUGUCUCUGGGCUAUGGCUUCUUUACAGAGCAGCUGGACGUGUGUAUUUACUGCAGGAAGCUGGAUGCUUGGGGAGGCAAUGGGGGACUCUUCUGUCCUGCUCAGGAGAAGGGCUGGCCAUGCAAGGAGCACGGUGCUCCAGCACAAACCUGCUAAAGAAAUGGUUUGCUACCCAGAUAGCUUGGGAUUGCUAUUUCCUGGUUGUUGAGAAACACAGGUAGAUAAGUAUCUGUUCUUCAGAACAGAGAAUGCUAUUUAAAGGCAUACUUAGGUGAGGUUGGUGGGAAGAUGAAGGUGAAGAUGCUUGAGGUAUUCUCACCGUGAAAUCCACAGCGCCUGUGGCUGCAGCCUUGCUUUGAAUGCCCUGGUGCGAAUAGCUGCCUUAGCUGCAACUGAGUUUGCUGGCCUUACUGCCCUGCAGGGAAAUGGUGUUUGCUUUGGGAUGGCCUGCUGGUGUGGGGAAAGGUCGUGACAGGGUGAGUCGAUGUCUGAAGGGCAGCAGCACGUGAACCGGCCACGCGCUAUCAGCACAGAGAGCUCAGGUGGAAUCCCUCCGGAGCUGCAGCAGGGCAGUGCUGGAGUGCGGAGGUGACCCAGAGCCGGAGCUGAGGGCUGACCCGGGGAGCUGCAGGCUCUGAGCUGGUUGUGUAGGAGGGUGCUGUGCUGCCUCCUGCAUCUCAUGCUCAUCCUGCAGACAAACCUCCGCCUCGAUGGCUGCUGCUGUUUUCUUCCUGGUUGCCGGAAGACGUGUUCCCACAGGCCUAGCUGGGUUUUUGUGCUUCAUGCCUUAAUUGCUUCAUCCUUAUCUGGAAAUGAAUUUGGAGAAGUACAGCUAAAACAAACACCCAGUCUUGUUCUUGGAAACACCAAUGUCUGUUUGCCAGACGUGUCUGUGACCUUCCAGGUUAAUGAGCAACGCUCUGAGGCAAUGUGGGGUUGCGCCUCUCCCCUGGUUGGGCACCAAAGGGGAAGUCAGGUAGGUGGAGGCCUGGAAAAUGCCAUGGGGAAUGGGUUCAGCUCAGGGUGAGCAGGGUCUCUGGAUGAUGGGCAGGUGUAGGGCCAUCUCUACGGGCGUUCUUUCACAUUCAAAGCCUCAGGCCAACAGUAAGUUUUAAAAUAAACAAUAGAUCUAAUUUGCUGCCUCAGGAAGCGUCAGUCAAGCGAAGUUACGUUUGCAGUGUAGUGUGAUAGAUCGACCUUAUGGGUUUAUUUCAGAAUUUUAAAGCUGUGGGUCCAUAUCUGGAUUAAACAGUCCCAGCAAAUGGGUUUUAUCUCAGUACACCACAGUGGAUUCAGGCAAGUAGGGUGGAUUUGGCUUGUAACUGCUUAACCACUGCAGUUCUGCUUGUGGAUGGUUUGUUUCAUUGUGUUUUUCAAGAGAGUGGUUCUUCCCAGGCUGCAGGAAAGCACCACUUCUGGUAUGUGGGUUAAUGAAGGGCUCGGUAAGACCCAGGGAGCUCUUCUGGUAGCAGUCAAGUGCUCCUUCUAUGUUAAUUAUCACCGUGUUUCUCAGCAAAGGUAAGGAAAGCAAAGUUCUUCAGCCGGUGCUGCUUUAUUGUCACCACGCUCCAAAUGCACGUUGGUGAAAUUCCUGAUUAUUUCCACGCUUCAGCUGAUGGUCCACAAGUGGUCACCUGCAGUCAUCGUUCAUCUUUUUUCAGUUGGAGAUGCUGCAAAUGCCAGAGAUGAGAUGAGGGGAAACACAUCAAGGCUUUCUUUGCUUCCUGCCUUUGAGCCUGUGAUGGGUUUCUGUGGGUCUGAAGUCCUGCUGUAAGAGCUCGCAGCAGCUGGAAGUGUAAUGCACUGCAGCUCGGUGCCUCCUGAGGCACUCGGGCACAGCCUGGAGGAGUUUAAUGGCACUGAGGAUGGUUUUACCAACGCAUGAACCAACAUGGGCUGAGAGAGCAACUCACAAUACCUUCCUGCAACAGAGAAAGUCCAGUUUCCAUAAUAAAUAAUGAGGAGGCGUUACUUCUGGAGCAACCUGUCUAUUCCUCAGUCAUCGAAGGUGCUGAAAAGCAGAUAAGGCUGCACGCUUGCCUCCUCGUCAGCCACCCCACAGUACUGCUGGUUACACCGCUGGUGAAUGCUAACGUCAAACUGAUUUGCUCCCAAGAAGCCACUGCUGCGUGCUCCUGCAGGGAUGCUGCGGGCUGCCCCCCGCUCUCUGCUGUGCUUUGUGUGCUCCACGGGUGUUCUCUCCCUGAAGCAGUGGUUACGUGGGAUUUGGGGCUCCCUUUCCAACCCCUCCUGCGAAAGGAGAGCACAGGUGAGACUCUUAUCAGCUAUCUCUCUGCAGUUACGGACUGGGAGUCUCUCUUAUCUCUUUAACCUUCACGUAGCCCUUGCCUGGAGGCACUCGAUGCGGUGGUUACUUUAUCCAGACUGCUUUCUGGAUCACAGAUCCCUGAACAAUAACAGAGAGGGGUGGCAGAGGCAAGCCUGGACUAGAAAUCAGAUCGGAAAUACUGAGAAAUGAGAGUUAAACAAAAGCUGCAUCACGUAACGAGGGGUCCUGGCUGCCAUGGGGCCCAUCCUGUCCCUGCUCAGCAACCAGCCCUGCCUUGCAGGGACUCGGCAGGGAUGCUGCAGGAGGGAAACUCCUCCGUUUGGGGCUCUAGCUCUGAGAGGGGCAUUGCUGGCAUUUACUCAGGGGCCAAGAAAGCCGCAGUCAAGCUUAGCACAUAGCUAACCUACCCCAUCCCUGCAGGUGCUCAAG